rnacentral:rRNA from 1 species
UACGCGGGGGGCAAGCGUUGUUCGGAAUUAUUGGGCGUAAAGCGCGCGCAGGCGGUCCUUUAAGUCUGAUGUGAAAGCCCACGGCUCAACCGUGGAGGGUCAUUGGAAACUGGGGGACUUGAGUACAGAAGAGGAAAGCGGAAUUCCACGUGUAGCGGUGAAAUGCGUAGAGAUGUGGAGGAACACCAGUGGCGAAGGCGGCUUUCUGGUCUGUAACUGACGCUGAGGCGCGAAAGCGUGGGGAGCAAACAGG